rnacentral:lncRNA from 1 species
UGUUAGAGUGCAAUUUAUGCACUAGUUUUGCAUUGUUUACUUCCCUUAAUAUCGAUGUUUUGCACUUAAUAAUAAUGAUUUACUUGUGUUUUACUUUUGUAGGUGCAAUUCUAUUGAUUGGUGGUAAAAUUGAGCUAAAAGAUGAUGUUUAAGGAUGAUUGUUCUCUUGGAGAAAUUAUGAGCGUCAGAAGAACUUUGUUGAUAAGGCGUGGGCGCGUGCUGUCAACUGCGGACCUGCAGUUUUUAGUUUAACGUGUUUUGUAUUUUUGGUUAGUUUUGUAAUUACGAAUUUAAUGUUUCAGAUAUUAGUAUUUUAUUUUAAAUAGAAUUCUAAAAGAGAAGAGAGAGAGAGUAUUUAAGGGGGGAAUCUAUUGUGAAAGAGGGAGAUUUUUAAAUUGGAGAAAAAGAAGAAACCCUAGAUCUAAUUUUUCUCUUCUCUCUAUGAAGAACUAAACCUAUUUUUCUGGUUGAAGGAUAAUGAAGUUUUGAUUCAUCACUACUGUGAGAUCUUUCUUAUGCUUUAAUUGUUUUAUUACUUUUUGGGUAUUUGUUUAUUCUCUGAAUUAGUUUCAUGAUUAUGUUUGUUAAUUAGGUAAUUGGCCACUAUUUAAUUAUCAACUUAAUCUA